AUUAAACGCUGGCGGCAUGCCUUACACAUGCAAGUCGAACGGCAGCACGGGGGCAACCCUGGUGGCGAGUGGCGGACGGGUGAGUAACACAUCGGAACGUGCCCUGGAGUGGGGGAUAACGCAGCGAAAGCUACGCUAAUACCGCAUAUUCUGUGAGCAGGAAAGCAGGGGAUCGCAAGACCUUGCGCUUUGGGAGCGGCCGAUGUCGGAUUAGCUAGUUGGUGGGGUAAAGGCUUACCAAGGCGACGAUCCGUAGCGGGUCUGAGAGGAUGAUCCGCCACACUGGGACUGAGACACGGCCCAGACUCCUACGGGAGGCAGCAGUGGGGAAUUUUGGACAAUGGGCGGAAGCCUGAUCCAGCCAUGCCGCGUGAGUGAAGAAGGCCUGGU
rnacentral:rRNA from 1 species